rnacentral:miRNA from 1 species
UCAUGGAAAAAUGUUUAA